rnacentral:miRNA from 1 species
AGUGGAUUCUUUCUUGGGAAUGA